CGUCAACCCCGUUCACCACCACCAGCAGCUCCACUACGUCCUCCAGCACCUCACCAACUUCGACUGCCACCACCACAGCAACCCUGUCCACGACCACAUCAUCCCCAUCCACCACCACCACUACCAGCAGCAGCUCGACUGGGUCCUCCAUCACCUCACCCACCUCAACUGCCACCACCCAGUCAACCACAUCCCCCACCAGCAGCAGCUCAACUGCAUCCUCCAGUACCUCACCAACUUCUACUGCCACUACCACGUCAUCCCUGUCCACCACCACCACCACCACCUCCAGCAGCUCCACUGUGUCCACCACCACCUCUCCCACCUCGACUGCCACCACCACACCAACCCCGUCCACCACCAGCAGCAGCAGCUCAACUGCAUCCUCCAGCACCUCAUCCACCUCAGCGACGCCCACCACAUCAACUCCAUCCACCACCACCAGCAGCAGCUCCACGGUGCCCUCCAGCACCUCUCCCACCUCAACCACCACCACCCAGUCAACGCCAUCCACCACCACCGCCACCAGCUCAACUGCGUCCUCCAACACCUCACCAACCUCGACUGCUACCACCACGUCAACCCUCUCCACCACCACCACCACCACCACCAGCAGCUCAACUGUGUCCUCCAGCACCUCACCAACUUCGACUGCCACCACAUCAUCCCUGUCCACCACCACCUCAACCCCAUCCACCACCACACCAACCCCGUCCACCACCAGCAGCAGCAGCUCAACUGUGUCCUCCAGCACCUCAUCCACCUCAGCGACCCCCACCACGUCAACUCCAUCCACCACCACCAGCAGCAGCUCCACUGCAUCCUCGGGCACCUCACCCACCUCAACCACCACCACUCAAUCAACCCCAUCCACCACCACCACCAGCAGCUCCACUGUGUCCUCCAGCACCUCACCAACCUCGACUCCUACAACCACGUCAACCCUGUCCACCACCACCAGCAGCUCCACUGUGUCCUCGGGCACCUCACCCACCUCAACCACCACCACUCAAUCAACCCCAUCCACCACCACCACCAGCAGCUCAACUGGGUUCUCCAGCACCUCACCAACUUCUACUGCCACCACCACCUCAACCCCAUCCAGCAGCACCACCACCACCACCAGCAGCAGCUCGACUGCAUCCUCCAGCACCUCACCAACCUCGACUCCUACCACCACGUCAACCCUGUCCACCACCACCAGCAGCUCAACUGCGUCCUCCACCACCUCUCCCACCUUGACUGCCACCACCACAUUAACCCCAUCCACCACCACCACCUCCACCACCAGCAGCUCCACUGUGUCCUCCAGCACCUCACCAACUUCGACUGCCACCACCACAUCAUCCCUGUCCACCACCACCACCACCAGCAGCUCCAGUGUGUCCUCCAGCACAUCACCAACUUUGACUGCCACCACCACGUUAACCCCGCCUACCACCACCACCAUCAGCAGCAGCUUGACUGUGUCUCCUACCACCUCACCCACCUCUACUCCCACUACCACAUCAACCCUGUCCACUACCACCAGCAGCAGUUCGACUGUGUCCUCCAGCACCUCUCCCACCUCAACUGCCACCACCACACCAACCCCAUCCACCACCACAUCAUCCCCAUCCACCACCACCAGCAGCAGCUCCACUGCGUCCUCAGGCACCUCACCCACCACAACUGCCACCACCACAUCAUUGCCAUCCACCACCACCUCAACCCCAUCUACCACCAGCAGCAGCUCGACUGUGUCCACCACCACCUCACCCACCUCGACUGCCACCACCACCUCAACCCCGUCCACCACCACAUCUACCCUGUCCACCACCACCUCAACCCCAUCUACCACCAGCAGCAACUCGACUUUGUCCACCACCACCUCAUCCACCUCUACUGUCACCACCACCUCAACCCCAUCCACCACCUCCUCACCCACCUCUACUCCCACCACCACCUCAACCCUGUCCACCACCACCUCAACGCCAUCUACCACCUCAUCAACCUCAUCCACCACCACAUCAAUGCCGUCCACCACCACAUCAACCCCAUCCACCACCACCUCAACCCCGUCCACCACCACCUCAACCCCGUCCACCACCACCUCAACCCCAUCCACCACCACCUCAACCCCGUCCACCACCACCUCAACCCCGUCCACCACCACCUCAACCCCAUCCACCACCACCUCAACCCCAUCCACCACCACCUCAACCCCAUCCACCACCACCUCAACCCCAUCCACCACAACCUCAACAACCUCAACCACCUCGACUGCCACCCCCAUCCAAACAACCACAACCACCACGACCACAACCACAACCACUACCACCACCACCACCAUGACAACCACAGUCACCAGUCCAGGUGAGUUUUGCUCCUUGGUGUCCCUCCACAGCCAUGUCCCUUCUCUCCGUGUUCUCCUCGGCAUUGUCCAGGUGGCUUUUGGUGUUUCUCCAGGCCGUGUCACAGUUCCCGUGUCCUUGGUUCCCUCUCCCAGGUCAGUGCCAGAAUGGUGGCACGUGGGAAGAUGGCAAGUGCCUGUGUCCCGAUGGCUUCCAAGGGGACUUCUGCGAGGAGGUCAUCUGCCAAAACGGGGGCACCUUUGCCAACGGCGUCUGCCAGUGCCCCCCCAAUUUCCAAGGAGACAGGUGCCAGACCGCCAAGGACGUCGUGGAGAUCCAAAAUGUGACGAUGAACGCGACGGUGGAGAUGACGGCCAAAGUCGACAACAGGAACUUCAGUGAAGAUCUCAAAAAUCCAUCCUCAGAUGCCUACAAGGAGUUUAACGAUACGUUCCAGAAGCAGGUCAGGGCUCAGCAGUGCCGGGGGUGACCUUGGGGACAGCCCCUUGAGGGGGUUCUGUGGACCACGACGGGGUCCUGGAUCUCCCCAGGCUUCUCUUUGUCUUCCAGAUGUCGAUGCUUUAUGGGCAUAUCGAGGGCUACAAAGGUGUGAUAAUCAAAGAGCUGCGGUGAGUCUCCACCGGUGGCCAGGUGGGUCCUGACCAUCUCCAGAGCUCCAGUGGGGUGGUUUGGGGUGAAGG
rnacentral:lncRNA from 1 species